GAUAUCGAGAAUUUCAUUUCUCUUUCUUCCCUGUUUGUGCUGAGGUCUUGUUAUAACAUUCCAGAAACCAUCACCACAAUCAAGACAGUGAACAUCUCCAUCAGCCCUAGAAGUUUUCUCCUGUUCCUUUUACUUCACCCCACUUCCCAGCCCAGGCAACCACAGACAGAGAGCUUCCAAGAUGCUUUUCUAGAAUUUUAUAUAGCUGGAAUUAUACAGUAUGUACUCUUUUAUUGCGGGGGGGGGGUUUUUUUUUUUUUUUUUAAGAAGAAAAAUAUUUCAUAUUUUCAAGACAAUCUGAUCUUACCCUUGUCAUAUAUAUCAAACUGGCAUUUUGGAUUAAACCAGUGUGGCUUGUUGAUAAUAAUUCAAGUUGUUCUUUCGAUGAUAAAACAUUCUCAUUGAAAACCCGAGUUAGCUGCAAAGUUAGAUGCAGGACCAUUUCCCACGUAAUUGAGUUCUUUCUGGAAAUGUUUUCUGCUGAAUAUAUACUGUCAUAAUACACAGUGAUCUUUAAGAAAUCUUAUAUCAAACUCAAUGUGAUUAUUUGUGGAAGUAAGAGCAGGGCAUUUUUCUGGACAAAGGCCAGCAUUAUAUCUGCCUGUCAUUCUUUGAUCAAGAAACAAUAGCAUCUGAAAUUUGUAAUAUAUAGCUGAAGGGUUUUUUUUUUAAAUGCUAUUUUCAUGAAAACAGUCCUUAAAGCAAUUUAAUCAGUCCAUAUCAGUUUUCUCUUUCAUCAAAAUUUUGAAAAAUCAUACGCCAAUCACUACAGCAAUACUCAUCUUGGUUUAUAGUAUAUGAGCUGUAUUGCCCACAAAUAUCUGUUCUAUGGGUUCCCGUCUUGGGUCUGUUCUGGAACUUUACCAAUUCUCCUUUCUUUUUUGAGUCUUCCAUUAUUCAUUUCCAUGAAUUUAUUUUAUAUAAGCAAUUCAAGUAUUUUCAAGCUAGUCCUAUUUAAAACUGAUAUUUAAAAAAAAAAAUCCUUUAAUUUGGGUUCCCAUUUGACCACCCUCUCUAAAAUGUGGCGACUUACCCAAGCUUCCAUUCCCAGUGAGGGGCCUCGUUCCAGCUGGGGAGUUCCCUCUCUGUGAUGAGCAAAGCUGACUUAGAGAUAGGAUGAUACAGCAAAAUGAAACAGUCUUCCUUCCCUUUUCUUGCAAUUAUUCUUAGGUUUUUUUUGUCCCACUGUGUUGCUGAAGUUUCUUAAGGGGACUCUAGUACUCUUAGGGCUGAUUUUCUUUAUGGAGAGCUGAGUAACAGCUUCUCUUUGUGGGGGAUGGAGGCCCCAUUUUGUUGAUUUCCCUCUGGCUAAUGUUUCCCAAUGUCUCUUGAAGAUGCUCUUCGUCUUCCUCAACCCAACUAACAUGUUCCCUGGGCUCUUCCUCAGCCUUUUUUUUUCCUUUUGGUAUACAUCUCCUUGGGAUAAGUCACACUUUUCAUAGAUUUAAUAAACUGCCUAUAUACAAAUGACUUUUAGAUUAAUGUCUCUUCACAAGACAUUUCCUAUUUAUCCAACUGCCUACAGGAAUCUUUACAUGGAUAUCCCACAAAAGCUUCCCAUCAAAAUGUCCAAAGCCACUGUGUUUAUCCUUUCCAUAGGUCAAAUCCUCCCCUUAAUGACUUGCUUUUUCCUCCUGGCCGCCCGCCCAAUGUCUAAAUCACGUUGAUUGUAUUUCUGAAGUAUCUCUUAGAUUUAUCCUUCUUUUUCUUUCUCACUACUUCUGUCACUGCGACUUCCUUAGAUCAUGCGGCUCUAAUGAUUCUUGCUUGGGAUUUGUAGUAUAUUAUCUCUUUGCUGUUCUUCCUGGUUAGGGGAAUCCCUGCACUCCAAGUGUUCUUACAGACUAUGGCAAUAGUGACUUUCCUAAUAGUCAGAUUGACUAGGCCAUUUGCCUGAUCUUGAUUCUUGAAUGGUUUCUCAUUGCCUCAGUAUAAGUUUUGACUCUUUCAACAUAUUCUUUUACGAUACAGCUCCCUAUCGGUUCAGUCCGUGUACCACUUACUGCAAUACGUUUCAUUCUUUCGCAAUACUAAAUCAUUUUCAGUUACCUACAAUAUCAUACUUUUUUUACUCCUCCAGUACUUUUUAAAUGAUGUUUACUCCUUCCAGAAUACUAUUUUGCUUUCACAUUGUGAACCCUUUCCUCCCAAAUCUGCCUAUCAAACUUGGGAGUCAUCUUUCAAGUUUCAGCUCAUUAUUUUCCCCCUUAUUAAUCCUCUGCCCUCUCUGUUGUGCCUUUUGGGACUUAUGGUGUGAUAUCUGUCACAUGAAAUCAUGACAAUUUGCUUGUUUAUAUGUUUUUCCUCUAUACUUCAUGAGUCCCUGAGGACAGAGAUUGUAUCUACAGACCUCAUACAGUAAUUGGUACAUGGCUGGUGACCAAAGUGGAUGGUGAAUGAAUGCAAAAGGGAAUUUG
ensembl:lincRNA